UACGAAGGGGGCUAGCGUUGCUCGGAAUCACUGGGCGUAAAGCGCACGUAGGCGGAUUUCUAAGUCGGGGGUGAAAUCCUGGAGCUCAACUCCAGAACUGCCUUCGAUACUGGAAAUCUCGAGUCCGGGAGAGGUGAGUGGAACUCCGAGUGUAGAGGUGAAAUUCGUAGAUAAUUCGGAAGAACACCAGUGGCGAAGGCGGCUCACUGGCCCGGUACUGACGCUGAGGUGCGAAAGCGUGGGGAGCAAACAGG
rnacentral:rRNA from 1 species